CAUGAGGAAAACAAAAGGGUAUCCCCAGAUUAUUUUGAAGAAGAAGAUUGGGGCUUAUAAUAAGAAGCAUAAGUCGGAGGAGAAUAGAUCACGGCAGCAGCCAUAGCUCCCGGAAACACUGCGUACUUAGCUAUCAGCGCAAUCUUCCUCACCAAUGGCUCUCCCUUCAUCAACGACAUGUUUAAAUCUCUUUGAUCAACACACCAAUUUUCUUCUACUGCUCUCUCUAUCAAUCAAUCA
rnacentral:lncRNA from 1 species